rnacentral:rRNA from 1 species
GACGAACGCUGGCGGCGUGCUUAACACAUGCAAGUCGAACGCUGAAGCUCAGCUUUUGUUGGGUGGAUGAGUGGCGAACGGGUGAGUAACACGUGAGUAACCUGCCCCCUUCUUGGGAUAACGCCCGGAAACGGGUGCUAAUACUGGAUAUUCACUGGUCUUCGCAUGGGGGUUGGUGGAAAGGGUUUUUCUGGUGGGGGAUGGGCUCGCGGCCUAUCAGCUUGUUGGUGGGGUGAUGGCCUACCAAGGCUUUGACGGGUAGCCGGCCUGAGAGGGUGACCGGUCACAUUGGGACUGAGAUACGGCCCAGACUCCUACGGGAGGCAGAAGUGGGGAAUAUUGCACAAUGGGAGCAAGCCUGAUGCAGCGACGCCGCGUGAGGGAUGGAGGCCUUCGGGUUGUGAACCUCUUUCGCUCAUGGUCAAGCCGCAACAAUGGUUGUGGUGAGGGUAGUGGGUAAAGAAGCGCCGGCUAACUACGUG